rnacentral:rRNA from 1 species
UACGAAGGGGGCUAGCGUUGUUCGGAAUUACUGGGCGUAAAGCGCGCGCAGGCGGCCCUUUAAGUCAGGGGUGAAAGCCCAGAGCUCAACUCUGGAACUGCCUUUGAAACUAGAGGACUUGGGUACGGGAGAGGUGAGUGGAAUUCCGAGUGUAGAGGUGAAAUUCGUAGAUAUUCGGAAGAACACCAGUGGCGAAGGCGGCUCACUGGCCCGUUACCGACGCUCAGGCGCGACAGCGUGGGGAGCAAACAGG